AUGAAAUGGCAUAAGGAGGGUCGGGUGGAUGAUGGCGUAAUGAGGCAUCCUGCAGAUUCGAAGGCCUGGAAGCAUUUUGAUAAGAAAUAUUAUAAGAAAUUCUCAAAAGAUGCUCACAGUGUUCGGCUUGGCCUUGCUUCGGAUGGAUUCAACCCCUUUGGGCUCAUGAGUAUAUCACACAGUACAUGGCAUGUCAUUCUUAUUCCAUAUAACUUGCCACCUUGGAUGUGUAUGAAACAACAAAAUUGGAUUAUGUCAAUGAUUAUUCCAGGACCAAAGUCAGUAGGAAAUAACAUAAAUGUGUACUUGCAGCCCUUGAUUGAUGAACUGAAUGUUCUAUGGGAGGAUGGUGCUGACACAUAUGAUGCUGCAACUAAAAAAAAUUCCAGAUGUAUGCAUGCUUGUUGUGGACCAUCAGUGACUACCCAGCUUAUGCAAUGCUGA
rnacentral:rRNA from 1 species